UGGUUCUAGAAACAAGAAAGGGAAGACAGGCAAGAAGAAGGAAGAUGUGAGAUCAGCCCAGCCUGCUCUGCUCACCUCCAGCAGCAGCUCUCUGCCCACAGCCCCACUCUCAGCUGCUCUCCUCGCUCCCGAUUCACAUGCAACAGAUGAUGCAAGUGACGCUCCUUUUAUGAAUUCAUACUACCUUGCCAAGAUCACCACCCCACAGGAUCCUGCCUGCCAGCUCCCCACGUCUGCUGAGGAGGAUGCCAACAUCUUGUGAUGAAACUCUGGCACAGAAGCUUUGCAUCUUUUAAAAUCAUUCCAGCAAGUGUGGAAAGAGGAUAACCUGAGAGGCAAUCCUGAAUGUCCCAAAGAGUGGUAAAGUAUCUGUUUCUCAUUAAAAGUCAAUGACAGCUUGGUACUUAA